AUGGCCUCUGCCCCCCUGCACUCUUCCCAUUCCUCCAACACGCCAUGAUAGGAUGGAGAGCAGAGGAUUCCCAGCGCUCUGCUGUCUCACCCUGGUUAUCAUCAGUGAAGUUGAUCAUUGAGAUUAGAGCAGCUUCAGUGGAACAAUACGGAUGGGUGCAGUGGAUUGAAGAGUGAACAGGAGGAGAGGCCAGGUGGUGACAGAGUGUGGGCAGUUUGCAAGAAGCUUGGUGAUGAAGUGGACAAAAGAGCAGAGCUGCAAGGACUGAUGAAGCUGAAGGUGGAACUUUAAGGUCACAAGCACAGCAUUCAGAGGUUCUGCAAACCAGACCACACCACAGGGCAGGUCUAGAACACCAAACUCUGUAAGCCGUGGUUGGAGUUGUGUGUUCCUUUGGUGCUGAGCUGUUUGCUAAAGACGAUUAAUGUGGAAAAAACCGUGAUACCCGAGGGAGGUCUUACAUCGUUCACAGCCUGCAGCUCUC